UAAUAGUUCUUGCACUUUCCUCCAUUUUCAUGUGACACUUGUUAGAUUGCUCUCAGUAUUUGAUGUAUUUCAUGCAACACUUAUUUGAUUGCUCAAGAGAAGUGUUAUUUAUUAGUGAAUUUUCUUUUAGUGUAGAAGUUCAAUAUGUAUUUAUAUCAACAGUUGAAUGAACAAUACAAUCUAUGCGUUAAAACAUAACAGAUCAGUUCAUUGUCAGUACAGGCUCUGAAACUGCUCAGUACAGGCUGGGGAACAUUUUUGGAAUCACGUAUAUAUAGCGGUUGCUUCCAAAUGAAUUUGUCGUUGCUAGUACAUUUUUGGUAGCAGAUGCUUCCAAGUGAAUUGCCGUUACUACUAUCUACGAUGUUGCUGCCAUGUUUUGUUUUUCUUUGAAUUUACUAUGUAACCACUGCUCAUGGUAACAUCAAACAACAAAUUUUAUAUGCCUGGCAUGUUUGAUCUGAUUUGACUCCAUGACCAUAGUGCAAAACAAAAAACUAUAGUAUCCUUGCUAGCUUGCAGCUGUAAUUUUGAUUGCACAACAGUUUAAUUGCAUCGCCAUCUCCCGGUGGGGCUCUGCUGUCGGAGCACCCUGGCCGUUCACAGCCACCACUCCAGGCCGUUCAACGCCACCACCCCUGGCCGUUCAUUGCCAGCAGCACCCUGGAUCCCACCCCUCACCCUAGUUGUUUCAGUUAUCGAGGUCCAGUCCCAUAUAUCUUUUAACCAAGUUCAUGGUGUGGCCCAGGGUGCUCGUCCGCGAUCACAAGAAGCAGGCCAUCGAGAAGGAGCUGGGCGACAUGGUGCAGCGGUGUGGCCAGUUCAACCACCUAGCUAAUAGAUCAUGUUUUUCUCUCUUUUGCCUAUGUCUCUUAGUGUGUUACCCCUUCUUAUUUUCAUAUAGCGUAUUUUGAACAUCAGAUGCUUUCAAAAAUGUGUCGCGCAAGUUCAAGUAUAGCUGCUGCAGGAGUUCAAAAAUCUGAACAGUUUAAGCUCAACCCAAUUUCAAGAACUGUUUCCUUUAUAAAUUGUUUGAAGUUUGUGAUUUUGGCUCAUGGCAGGAGCUCGUUGACGAUGAAGGAUGUGAAGCUUCACCACCAUUCACAACUCCAGUAUGGUCCAAUUCGUCAUGAGGAUCUGGAGCUUCAACUUUUUCAGUUCAUCUUUCAUAUGCUUUUUAGUACAUCUACUUCCUCAUCAUGGAAGAAGGAAAUCAGUCCAACAGGCGCAUCUAAAGUGACAUGUCGUGCACCGCCCACUCGUCCUCAAGCUGCACGUCGUGUCGUGCCGGCUUGCCAUCAACCACAAAUGUGGCUCAACCCCCACGGUGCUUCCACGACCACCGCACGCAGCCUCCCUCUAUUGUUGCCCUCACCAUGCUCUCCUGCGUAUUGGCGGCCUCGACGAGCUGACUAAUUGGUUACCCCUCCUGCGUGCUGCAGUACGCCGCCGAGCUGGUCACCAUUUAUAUUUUUGUUUUAAGUUCAUUUGUGUUCUUGUUGUCAGGUCGCCUGCAAAAUUGUUAUCGU